GGGUGCCACUCUGCGCACUGCAAGAAAGUUAGUAACCAGCCAGCAUCUGAAGGAACCGCCGCUCAACUGAAGUACCCACCCAUCCAGAACCAUCAUCACGUGAGGAGGGGCUUUGUAACAGUAUGUCACCCCAGUAGUAGAAAACGUUAGCAACAUGGUGGAAAGGAAGAUCACUCUUGGACAUAAUGCAGUAAAAUGGGAGUUAUGUAAGCUGUGAGAGAGUCAUUAGUGUUUCUGUGUGACAAACCACCACUGGCACAAGCGGACAGCCGAGAGUAUAAAUCUGUGAUCAUGUUGCUGGCAUGAUUGUUUGUAUGAACAGUUCCAUAGAACUUUGAUCAGUCAAGUGUGGCCACAAGUCCCACGUGUAUGGCCAUUUUUAGAUGGUGUCCAAAGGAGCAGCUCAUCCUGACACAGAGAAAGUAAGGAGAAGUGAGGAUGAGAAGUGACUCCCCUUCAGCCUAGAUUGCCUGGAUUAGUUAAACAAUGGCAUUGGUUGGAAUAUGAAAAGUUCCUGCCCGUUGAGCUAUUAAUACUGUAUCUUCUGUCUAAAGAUAACGACUGCAACACCUCAGGUCCAGCAUCCUUUUAAGGCAUCAAAGUCAACUAAGUGCAAGACUAAAGAAAGGAUGCAACUACUGAUCUGGAAAACCUUAGCUGCAUAUCGAAGCUUCAAACACACACUACUUGCAUAUAUUAAGUAGUAAACAAGG